GACGAACGCUGGCGGCGUGCUUAACACAUGCAAGUCGAACGGUAAGGCCCUUCGGGGUACACGAGUGGCGAACGGGUGGGUAACACGUGGGUGAUCUGCCCUGCACUGCGGGAUACGCCUGGGAAACUGGGUCUAAUACCGGAUAGGACCACUGCCUGCAUGGGUGGUGGUGGAAAGCUUUUGCGGUGUGGGAUGGGCCCGCGGCCUAUCAGCUUGUUGGUGGGGUGAUGGCCUACCAAGGCGACGACGGGUAGCCGGCCUGAGAGGGUUACCGGCCACACUGGGACUGAGAUACGGCCCAGACUCCUACGGGAGGCAGCAGUGGGGAAUAUUGCACAAUGGGCGCAAGCCUGAUGCAGCGACGCCGCGUGAGGGAUGACGGCCUUCGGGUUGUAAACCUCUUUCAGCACCGACGAAGCGCAGGUGACGGUAGGUGCAGAAGAAGGACCGGCCAACUACGUGCCAGCCGCCGCUGUAA
rnacentral:rRNA from 1 species